CAGAGGGUGCGAACGUUGCUCGGAAUUACUGGGCGUAAAGCGCGUGUAGGCGGGACCGCAAGUCAGAUGUGAAAUCCCCGAGCUCAACUCGGGAACUGCAUCUGAAACUGCGGACCUUGAGUACUGGAGAGGGCGGCGGAAUUCCUGGUGUAGAGGUGAAAUUCGUAGAUAUCAGGAGGAACACCGGUGGCGAAGGCGGCCGCCUGGACAGUCACUGACGCUGAGACGCGAAAGCGUGGGGAGCAAACAGGAUUAGAUACCCUGGUAGUCCACGCCGUAAACGAUGGGUGCUAGGUGUCUCGGGUAUUGACCCCUGAGGUGCCGUAGCUAACGCGUUAAGCACCCCGCCUGGGAAGUACGGUCGCAAGACUA
rnacentral:rRNA from 1 species